rnacentral:lncRNA from 1 species
AAAAAGACGUGGUGAUGAAAAGAAGUUCAAGAGAGAAAAAGGAAAGCUAAGCGCAAGAGGAGAGAAGAGAGGCAGAUAGAUGGAGAUGAGGAACAUCCCCCAAAGCAGCAGAAGGUACCGGCUGAAGAACAGCAGUGGCCAGAGAAUAUGCCUGAAUGGGAAGAAAGGAAAUCCCUGCUAGCUCAGAGAAGAGUGGAGUCUGUCAGACUGCUUACAGUGCUGUUAAAUCGUGUGAAAUUGGCAAGUCAAAAAGCGGAUCCUUCACUGGGUGUAAAGAAGGACAAUUCAUUUUCUGAAACAGCAUUUAAAGACAUACAGCAGGAGCUGAUUAACUCCCUUUAUCGUACGCACAAAGAGCUGAAACAGACGGACAGUUGCAUGCAGCUGGAGUCGCUCAGAAAGAUACAGAGAAAAUGUAAGAAAAUGUUGCACAAAAAAGUGAAAUUCAAGACACAUCACAUCUCUAUGGCAGCACCAGAUGUUACCCCUCAUGAAGGCUCGCCCCUUCAGGAGACCCACCAGAGGAGAGGAGAUGAGAGGAAAAUAAUGUUGAGAAGACAGAUGGAUACAGAUGUCAGAGGAUGCCCUCUAUUUCCUCUUGAAAUAAUUCAGACAAACCCCUUCUCAGAUACUGUCUGUGGAGGAGAGCCCAGAAGAGGAUGCUGA